rnacentral:rRNA from 1 species
AUUGAACGCUGGCGGCAGGCUUAACACAUGCAAGUCGAGCGAGCGGCGGACGGGUGAGUAAUGUCUGGGAAACUUCCUGAUGGAGGGGGAUAACUACUGGAAACGGUAUCUAAUACCGCCUACCAUCUGAUUUGCCCAGAUGGGAUUAGCUAGUAGGUGGGGUAAUGGCUCACCUGGGCGACGAUCCCUAGCGGAUCUGAGAGGAUGACCAGCAACACUGGAACUGGGACACGGUCAGGACUCCUACGGGAGGCAGCGGUGGGGAAUAUUGCACAAUGGGCGCAAGCCUGAUGCAGACAUGCCGCGUAUGUGAAGAAGGCCUUGGGGUUGAAAAGCACUUUCAGCGAGGAGGCGUUACUCGCAGAAGAAGCACCGGCUAACUCCGUGCCAGCAGCCGCGGUAAUAC